AGACCCGAAACCGGGCGACCUACCCAUGAGCAGGAUGAAGCGAAAGUAAAAUUUCGUGGAGGUCCGAACCCACGAGCGUUGAAAAGCUCGGGGAUGACUUGUGGGUAGCGGUGAAAUUCCAAUCGAGACCGGAGAUAGCUGGUUCUCCCCGAAAUAGCUUUAGGGCUAGCCUCAAGGUGAGAGAUACGGAGGUAGAGCACUGAAUGUCCUAGGGG
rnacentral:rRNA from 1 species